rnacentral:tRNA from 1 species
GCUCCAGUAGCUCAGGGGAUAGAGCACCGGUUUCCUAAACCGGGUGUCGCAGGUUCGAAUCCUGCCUGGAGCG